UUAAAUCCUGAGGGAAUACAGAUUACAGCAUAAGGUAAGUCAUGUCACAUUUUACUGAAGGGUCUUCUCAGUCGGAUCUCUCAAAUCUCAUUUCUGAAAUUUCUGUUUAUAGAAAAAACAAAAAUCUAUUUUUGGAGGGGUGUGAUAAGCCCAUUUUGAAAGCUUAUCAAUUGGCUUUCUGGCAAUAAUUGUAACAAGAGAAUGUGGGUAUACAAAUAUGUUGAAUAUUAAAAUAUUCUGAAAUAGGAAAUGGUUUAUACUUGUAACCGUCUUGCUGAUGAAGACCUUAUAUGCAGAGCUGAACACCUAAUGCCUAAUGAUGUUUAUGGAAUUGUCAUUGAAAAAAAUGAAUUGGCAGUAAUGUGUUCAACUCUGUGCUAGGCAUUAGGCAUACAAAAACGAGUCAAGCAUGGUCCCUGCCCUCAAGGGGCUUGCAUUUUGGCAAUGGAAUGAAGGAAGUGCACUGAGACAUUAAAGAAGCAAUGGGGAACGGAGAAAAUGAGGACAGCCCCGUGCACUGCACAAGAGCAGCAGAAGGGAGCCUAAGUUUCCCCCAGGGAAUUCACCUCCCACGCAGGGUAAACUGACCCCAGGGAGGACAUCACUGGUGAAGCAGGAGCAAAGUCGAAGAGGUGCUGGGAGUGUCUGCAGAGCUGCACACAGUUCAUCAUGACAGGAAAUACUCCUAGAGGGAACCCUCGAACAGUCCCCACUGGACCUUUCACCCCAUAGGAAGUCAUUUGGACUUCAUGGGCAGCGGAGUCACAGAAGGAUUCUAAUCCAGAGGGUGACAAAAUCAAGUUUGGGUGGAUCUUAGAUGGCAACUGGGAUUUGAAACUAAGGCACCAACUGGGAGAUGCCUACUGCAAGGGUGGAGGUGGAAAACAAAGGCUGUGUGAGACGGGCACGGGGCUAAAGAGGAGGUAGCCAUCCAAAGCAGCGAUGACUCAGCUUUCAAUGUGGGGAGUGUGAGAGCAGAACGAAAGGGCCACUCAUAGCAUGGAAACCUGCCUGGAUGAAUGGGCUCCACUCACUGAGAAUCAGAACCCAGAAGGAAGCAUCCCAGAUUUCCAGCACGGGCACAGAACAGAACAGUUCCCAUUAGGGCAAUCUAGGCACGUUCCAGUCUACAAGGUUGGUGGGGAGGCAGGGAGAGAAGGGUUUGAUAAGGAUCAUCUCCAAUAAUGGGUUAGGAGAACAACUUAAAAGCUUUGUUCAUCACCUCCACAGAGAAAGGGUAAUUGAAGGCACAUUGAUAUAUAACCAGGUG
rnacentral:lncRNA from 10 species